rnacentral:rRNA from 1 species
UAGGGAUGAGCCUGCGUACCAUUAGCUAGUAGGCGGGUAAGGCCCACCUAGGCAACGAUGGUUAGCGGGUCUGAGAGGAUGAUCCGCCACACUGGAACUGGAACACGGACCAG